AGCGAACGCUGGCGGCAGGCCUAACACAUGCAAGUCGAACGAACUCUUCGGAGUUAGUGGCGGACGGGUGAGUAACACGUGGGAACGUGCCUUUAGGUUCGGAAUAACUCAGGGAAACUUGUGCUAAUACCGAAUGUGCCCUUCGGGGGAAAGAUUUAUCGCCUUUAGAGCGGCCCGCGUCUGAUUAGCUAGUUGGUGGUGUAAUGGACCACCAAGGCGACGAUCAGUAGCUGGUCUGAGAGGAUGAUCAGCCACAUUGGGACUGAGACACGGCCCAAACUCCUACGGGAGGCAGCAGUGGGGAAUCUUGCGCAAUGGGCGAAAGCCUGACGCAGCCAUGCCGCGUGGAUGAUGAAGGUCUUAGGAUUGUAAAAUUCUUUCACCGGGGACGAUAAUGACGGUACCCGGAGAAGAAGCCCCGGCUAACUUCGUGCCAGCAGCCGCAGUAAAAC
rnacentral:rRNA from 1 species